UACAGAGGUCUCAAGCGUUGUUCGGAUUCAUUGGGCGUAAAGGGUGCGUAGGCGGCGCGGUAAGUCGGGGUGUGAAAUCUCGGAGCUUAACUCCGAAACUGCAUUCGAUACUGCCGUGCUUGAGGACUGGAGAGGAGACUGGAAUUUACGGUGUAGCGGUGAAAUGCGUAGAUAUCGUAAGGAAGACCAGUGGCGAAGGCGGGUCUCUGGACA
rnacentral:rRNA from 1 species